GGUAGACGGCUCUUUUUUUCUUCAAAGACCUAGUGAUAGGUAUACUUUAGGAAGGGGCUUGCGCCAUAUUAGUUAGUUGGUAGGGUAAUGGCCUACCAAGACGAUGAUGUGUAGCUGGACUGAGAGGUUGAACAGCCACAUUGGGACUGAGACACGGCCCAAACUCCUACGGGAGGCAGCAGUAGGGAAUUUUCGGCAAUGGAGGAAACUCUGACCGAGCAACGCCGCGUGAACGACGAAGUACUUUGGUAUGUAAAGUUCUUUUAUCAAGGAAGAAAAGCAAGUGGUGAACCAUUUGUUUGCCGGUACUUGAUGAAUAAGCCCCGGCUAAUUAUGUGCCAGCAGCCGCGGUAAGACAUAAGGGGCAAGUGUUAUCCGGAAUUAUUGGGCGUAAAGGGUGCGUAGGCGGUCUAGUAAGUCAGUGGUGUAAUGGCAACGCUCAACGUUGUCCGGCUAUUGAAACUGCUAAACUUGAGUUAGAUAGAGGCGAGUGGAAUUCCAUGUGUAGCGGUAAAAUGCGUAAAUAUAUGGAGGAACACCAGAGGCGUAGGCGGCUCGCUGGGUCUUAACUGACGCUGAGGCACGAAAGCGUGGGGAGCAAACAGGAUUAGAUACCCUGGUAGUCCACGCCGUAAACGAUGAGUACUAAGUGUCGGGUUAAACCGGUACUGAAGUUAACACAUUAAGUACUCCGCCUGAGUAGUACGUACGCAAGUAUGAAACUUAAAGGAAUUGACGGGACUCCGCACAAGCGGUGGAUCAUGUUGUUUAAUUCGAAGAUACCCGAAAAACCUUACCAGGUCUUGACAUGUUUUUGCGAAACGGUAGUAAUAUCGUGGAGGUUAUCAGAAACACAGGUGGUGCAUGGUUGUCGUCAGCUCGUGUCGUGAGAUGUUAGGUUAAGUCCUAAAACGAGCGAAACCCUUAUCGUUAGUUGCCAGCACGUUAUGGUGGGGACUUUAACGAGACUGCCAGUGAUAAAUUGGAGGAAGGUGAGGAUCACGUCAAAUCAGCAUGCCCCUUAUGACCUGGGCUACAAACGUGAUACAAUGGCUGUUACAAAGGGUAGCUGAAACGCAAGUUCUUGGCCAAUCCCCAAAAACAGUCUCAGUCCGGAUUGAAGUCUGCAACUCGACUUCAUGAAGUGGAAUCGCUAGUAAUCGCGAAUC
rnacentral:rRNA from 1 species